AGCGCGUCGUGCUUUUUUAAUCAGCCAGGCCAAAUUCCGUUGUGAAAUUUCUAUUAAUUUUUCUGCCCUGCGGGGAUUCGGAGUUGCUUCUAAUACUAGAGUUGAGGUCCCGGCGGCCGUUGGUCCCUCCGCCUCCGGUUGGGGCGUUCCCCCGAAGCACCCAAAAGGUAGGUUCCAUUACGGCUUAGGGAGUUAAAAACUCCGUAAAAAACCUUCCGUAGGGGUAACCUGCGGAGGGAUCAGUUGCGCCGAGUUUUCGGAGCUCCCUAACCCUUAUGUGAACCUACCUAUUGUUGCUUCGGCGGACUCGCCCCAGCCGGACGCGGACUGGACCAGCGGCCGCCGGGGACCCUCAAACUCUUGUAUUAUCAGCAUCUUCUGAAUCCGCCGCAAGGCAAAACAAAUAAAUCAAAACUUUCAACAACGGAUCUCUUGGCUCUGGCAUCGAUGAAGAACGCAGCGAAACGCGAUAAGUAAUGUGAAUUGCAGAAUCCAGUGAAUCAUCGAAUCUUUGAACGCACAUUGCGCCCGCCAGCAUUCUGGCGGGCAUGCCUGUUCGAGCGUCAUUUCAACCCUCGACCUCCCUUUGGGGAAGUCGGCGUUGGGGACCGGCAGCACACCGCCGGCCCUGAAAUGGAGUGGCGGCCCGUCCGCGGCGACCUCUGCGUAGUAAUCCAACUCGCACCGGAACCCCGACGUGGCCACGCCGUAAAACACCCAACUUCUGAACGUUGACCUCGAAUCAGGUAUGACAUACCCGCUGCACUUAAGCAUAUCAAAAGCCGGGAGGAA
rnacentral:rRNA from 1 species